rnacentral:rRNA from 1 species
UACGGGGGGGGCAAGCGUUGUUCGGAAUUACUGGGCGUAAAGGGCUCGUAGGCGGCCAACUAAGUCAGACGUGAAAUCCCUCGGCUUAACCGGGGAACUGCGUCUGAUACUGGAUGGCUUGAGUUUGGGAGAGGGAUGCGGAAUUCCAGGUGUAGCGGUGAAAUGCGUAGAUAUCUGGAGGAACACCUAUGGCGAAGGCAGCUCGCUGGGACGUUACUGACGCUGAGACGCGAAAGCGUGGGGAGCAAACAGG